CUGCUCCCUUGGGUUCAACGGAGGAGCUGGGAACCAAGCUGCCACGGCUUCAAGACCAAGGCCACCGAUGUGCUGGGGAGAGAGUCAGGAAGGGGUAAGUGAAAAGGCACAACACUUUCCCCCCAUUUGAACGUGGCUUUUUCUUGAUUAGGUGUUCAUUUGGUUGCUGUAAACCUCGAUUUUCCAGAGCUCUGCUGGAACUCUGGUUCACUUCCUGCUUCCUCCCUGCCGAUGUUUCUGUGGGGGAGCAAGAACUUGGAGCUUCCCGGCCACCAUGUUGCUGACACUGCUUGAAUAGUUUGCUGCUCUCCCUUUGUCCCGGGUCUGACUCGCAGAGACAGACAAUGCACCGAGCAAUUACAUGUCUUGUAAAUCAAGUUUAACUGUGUGUUUACAUAAUAGUCAUGGGCUGCUUGAGUGGAACAAUGGCAGAACCGAGGAGCUUCGCAAGGGAUCAGAGACUGCCCAGAUGAACGGGUCUGGGACCUGGCCCUUUGGCAGAAAGUUUACCUGAUUUACAACACCCGGCACAGGAGAGAUGCUUCAAAAUUAGAACUGCAUUGAGAGCACAAUCUCUGAGCCAACUGGCAAGGGUCUGAAGUCAGUCUUUUAUCUUUUACUAGCUUUUGUGACCACUGGAAGCUUGCUAAAAUGUACCGCAACCCCUUGCUUUUUUGAAAGACAGGAAACAGAAUUACUUUACAGAAUUUGCUCAAGUUUUACGGUAUCAAUCUGUGGGUGCUCAUUUCCACAAAACGAUGGAAAUGGUGCCUGAGAGGCCUUGGUGUUGCUAGUUGCUGGCCUGUUGUGACAAGGCUAUACCUGUUCUGCUGUUGAGCAUAAACUAUCUUACAACCCAAACCCCACAGGUUCACUCUCUGUGAUGGAACAAGACCAACACGAGGCCGCUGUCAUGUCUGUAACUGAAUUACACAAGGAAACUGCUCAAGCCACAACAAUGACCACAUGUGUCACUAUUGUGACACAGACGAUUGACUUUUUUUUUUUUUUAAUUUUAACGUUUAUUUUAUGUUUGAGAGGGAGAGAGAGAGAAGAGACAGAGUGCGAGGAGGGGAGGGGCAGAGAGAGAGGGAGGCACAGAAUCCGAAGCAGGCUCCAGGCUCCGAGCUGUCAGCAAGAGCCCGACGCGGGGCUCGAACCCACAAGCCGUGGGAUCAUGACCUGAGCCAAAGUCGGACACCCAGCCGACUGAGCCACCCAGGCGCCCUGACUAUUGCUUCUUUUAACCCCAUUCCAUUUGUUCUUUCUAGAUCUAACGAUUAAGAUACCCAAUCACAGAAUUGCACUGACUUUCUGAUGUCAUUAAUCAAAGUUCCAAUUCUUGGAAUGCCCUCCCCCCCUCCCCCCUGCCAACCAACUAAUGUAAGCCCAAAUCAGAGAUAGUAAGUCCAUCCAUCCUACCAGCCUCUACUGAGACGCAUCACGGUUCCUCAUGGUGUAUGGUCUCCACCAUUACAACAUAUCAGUAACUCAACUAUGUUCUACUUUAACUGUGUUCCUGGUCAUCUUUGGCUGCAUGGCGUUGAUGAAAGCAACACAUAAGUUCCUACUAAAAUAAUGUCAUUUUCAUGGGAAAGAUGUUAAUUAUAUGGAAAUGAAAGAAUUUAACCUGAAAAAAUUGCUUUGGGGGUGCCUGGGUGGCUCAGUCGGUUGUGUGCAACUUCAGCUCAGGUCAUGAUCCCACGGUUCACGGGUUCAAGCCCCGCAUCGGGCUCGGUGCUGACAGCUCAGAGACUGGAGCCUGCUUCAGAUUCUCUGUCUCCCUCUCUCUCUGCCCCUCCCCUGCUUGUGCUCUCUCUCUCUCAAAAAUAAACAUAAAAAAAAUUCUUUAAAAAAAAUUGCUUUGGAUCCUAGAAGAAAUCAAAUAGUUCAAACCACAAAAAAGGAAUUAAUCAAUGAUGUAAUAAAAAUACUGAAAAAAGCAUCUUGAAGUAAAUGAUUAUGAAAAUAGAAUAUCAAAAUUUGUGGAACACACACAAAAACUUUAGGGUCAAAUUCAUACUUUUAAAUACAUUAGAAAGGAAGGAAGACCUAAAAUCAACAAUCUAAAUUUCAACUUCACUAAACCUUAAGGAAAGAGUAUCAAAAGUAAUACUGAAAAUAACAGAAAUCAAUGAAGUAGAGAAAACCAAUAAAAAAAUCCACAAAACCAAAAUUUAUUCUCUGACAGGAUAAAGAAAAUUGUAAAAAUCAAAGCAGCACUAACCAAGAAAUAAAGAAGACACAAAUUACAAAAAUAGAAAACCAAGGAAACAAAUAUAUAUGCUCCAAAAAAAACAAAAACAAAAACCCCCCAAACUCCGCCCCUCACCCACCCAAAUCUACAAACCUACCUGAGAUUUUUUUUUUUUUUUUUAAAGCUAUAAAGGAAUCCAGGCACCUGGGUGGCUCAGUUGGUUAAGCGUCUGACUUCAGCUCAGGUCAUGAUCUCACGGUCUGUGAGUUCGAGCCCCGUGUCGGGCUCUGUGCUGUCAGUUCAGAGCCCGGAGCCUGUUUUAGAUUCUGUGUCUCCCUCUCUCUCUGCCCUCCCCCACUCACGCUCUAUCAAAAAAUGAAUAAACGUUAAAAAAAUUUAAAGCUAUAAAGGAAUCAUAUAAACCUCUUUAUGACAACAGAUUGGAUAAUUUAUUUGAAAUGGACAAUUCCUAGCAACAUUCACACCUACUAAGUCAACUCAAGAAGAAACACUGAAAAUCUGAACAGGACUCUAUUAAGUUGAGAAGUUCAAGUAGUAGUUAAAACAUCUUCACACAAAGAAGAGCUGUGGUCCAGAUAGCUUUACAGCUGGAAUUCUAACAUACUUUUUUUUCUUAAAUUUUUAAAUGUGUAUUUAUUUUUGAGAGAGAGAGAGAUCACACGCACAAGCGGGGGAGGGGCAGAGAGAGAGGGAGACACAGAAGCGGAAACAGGCUCCAGGCUCUGAGCUGUCAGCACAGAGCCCGACGCGGGGCUCGAACUCACAAACUGUGAGAUCACGACCUGAGCCGGGAGGUUUAACCCACUGAGCCACGCAGGCGUCCAGUUCUAACAUACUUUAAAGAAGAAAUAAUACCAGUAUCAAACUAAUGAAACAGGAGGAACUACAUUGGAAAUAAUUUUAUCAAAUCUAGACAAAGAUUAUCACAAGAAAAAAAAUGGCAGGAACUCGUUCACACUGUAUACUUGUGUCAAAUCACCAUGAAUAAUUAAUUAAUUUAGAGAGCGCAUGAGCACAAGUCGGGGAGAGGAACAGGCAGAGAGAGAGAGAGAGAGAGAGAGAGAAAGAUUCUUAAGCCGGCUGCACAUUUCAACAUGGAGCCCAACACGGGCUCGAUUCUAUGACCCCUGAGAUCAUGAUCUGAAAUCAAGUUGGAUGCUCGACUAGCUGAGCCACCCAUCACCACGAUGUAUAUUUUAAAUAUCUUAUAAUUUUAUUUGUCAAUUAUACCACAAUAAAGGCUGGAGGGGGAAAACACUGAUACACAAGCAGGUUUGGGUAGACUGAAAAAAAGGGGGGGGGGGACAGAUUAAUGACCUUCGCAAACAUAAAAUCUCUUAACAUACUGAGAAAUGAAAUAUGGCAAUACAUAUAAAGGUUUAUACAGUAUAGCUAAGUGAAGCUUUUCCAAGAAGGCAAGUGUGGAUUUAACAUCUGAAAACCAAUGUAAGAUAUUAAAAGACUAAAGAGAAAGUAUAUAAUAAUCCCCAGAGGAAAAGAAAAUGAGAAAAAUCCAACAUCCAUUUACUCUACAACUUCUCAUCAAAUGAUAUCUAGAAGGAAAUUUCAGGGGCACCUGGGUGGCUCAGUUGGUUAGGUGUCUGACUUUGGGUCCGGUCAGGAUCUCACGGUUUGUGAGUUUGAGCCCCGUGUGGGGCUCUGUGCUGACAGCUCAGAGCCUGGAGCCUGCUUGGGAUUUUGUGUCUCCCUCUCUCUCUGCCCCUCCCCUGCUCGCUCUCUUUCUCUCUCAAAAAACAAAACAAAACAGAACAUUAGAAGGAAACGUCAAUCUGAUGAAACAUGAAAAACCUACAGGUAGCAUCGUACUUAGGGGUGUAAGACUGAAUACAUUCCUCCUCCGACUGGAAACAAAACAAGUACUCUCUCCCACGACUUCUAUUCAAAACUGUCCUGGAACAUCAAGCUAACGCAAGGCAAGGAGGGAACUUAAAGGAACAAAGGUUAGAAAGAAGCAAAACUCUUUAUUUGCAGAUGACACAAUCUUGUCUGUAAAAAUAACCAUCGAAACAGGGCACCUGGGUGGCUCAGUCGGUUGGGCGUCUGACUUCGGCUCAGGUCAUGAUCUCGCAGUUCGUUAACUGGAGCCCCGCGUCGGGCUCUGCGCUGACAGCUCAGAGCCUUUUUUGGAUUCUGUGUCUCCCUCUUUCUCUCUGCCCCUCCCUUGCUUGUGCUUUCUCUUUCUCUCUCAAAAAUAAACAUUUUUUUAAAAUGUAUUGCUAACUACUAGUAAUGAAAAAUCCAGAACUGGAAUUAAGAAUGUUCCAUUCACCACAGCAUCCAAAGAAAAAAAUACUAUUCUGCAAUGACAGCAUAUUCUGCAAUGACUAGCUCUGUGGGAUCCUCUCCCCAGCAAAACAAAUAUAAAUGAUGAGCCGCUUUAAAAACCUAAUCCUUUUAAGGCUCUGGGAAAGUGUCAUGAGGGUGUGUAACAAAGAAACAUUUAUUCAAUAAAACCUCAGAGUGAGCACGGCUUGGCUCCUGGAGCCUGCUUCAGAUUCUGUGUCUCCCUCUCCCUCUGCCCUGUCUCUCCCUCCACUCUGUCUCUCUCUCUUUCAAAAAUAAACAUUAGGGGCGUCUUGGUGGCUCAGCUAGUUAAAUGUCUGACUUUGGCUCAGGUCACGAUCUCACGGUUGGUGAGUUCGAGCCCCGGGUGGGGCUCUGUGCUGACAGCUCAGAGCCUGGAGCCUCUGCUUCGGAUUCUGUGUCUCCCUCUCUCUAAAAUAAACAUUAAAAAAUUUUUAAAAACGUUAAAAAUCUAUACAUAUAUAUGAAACAAGUAGGCCAGCUCGUUUACCAGAGAACCAGGGGAAGAGCGAGAUAGGAAAGCCCUCUUAGGAUUAGAGCAAACCUCAAACCCUGGCCUCGAAAACUACCUCUACAAGGGGGCAGGAGUGAACUUGGAUCAGACUCUGGAGAAAUUCAUGUCUCAGUGUCAAAAACAAUAAAGCAACCGGCCUGCCGUAACGUGUGAUCAGGGAAAGACUCCGUGAGAUCUCUGCCCAAACCAGCCAUCCCAUUGUGACUGGAAGCAAGCUCUUGUGACAAGAGGAACGUCAGAGGCUCAUAUGUGGAAAAAAAAAAACAGAUGUCACCAAAAUGUCAGCUAAUCACUGACCACAUAAACAAGCAAACCACAAGCAGCCCCGAAAAGUCUAUAAUCUAGAAUGUCCAAUUUUCAACUGAAAACGUAGAAUACGUGCAAAAAACCGGAAAGGAUGGACUUACAGACAGAAAAAAAAAAGGCAGACAGCAGAAACUGCCUGUGAGAGGGUCUAGACGGAUGAUAGGUUUAACAAAGACUUCGGGGCACCCAUUAUAAAUAUGCUCAAAGAUCUAAGGGAAACCAUAUUUAAAGGAGUAAGGGAGGGUAUGAUGAUGACAUCACAUUAAAGAAUAUCAACAGUGAGAAGUUACAGAUGAAUAAAGAUUAUGCAAUCUAAAGAGCAGAGGAGGAUGAAGAAAACUGAAUAGAGCCGCUGGAAAAUGUGGAAUGCUGAGUGCACACAUAUGCAUAAUGGGACCACCAGACAGAGAAAGGAGGAUAUUCCACUAUUAUUGCUGCAAACAAAUUCUCUGACCCUUUCUCUUCUUUCACUCUUUUCUGGGACUCCCAUAUCGUGCAUAUUGGUUGGUUUAAUGGUAUCCCUUAAGUUCCUUGGCUUAGUUUAGUUUCCUUUAUUCUUUUUUUCUUUGCUCCCCAGACUCAAAUUUCAAACGACCUGUUUUCAACUCUGCAGAUUGUUUCUGCUGCUUGUUCAAGUUUGCUUUUGACCCCUCUGGUGAAUUCUUUCAACUCAGUUCUUGUAGAUUUCAGCUCCAGAAUUUUAUUUUAUUUUUUCUUAAAGGUUUAUUUAUUUUUUAAUGUUUACUUUUAAGAGACAGAGUACAAGCAGGGGAGUGGCAGGGGCGGGGGGUCAGAGGAUCCGAAGCAGGCUCUGGGAGCUGUGCUGACAGCAGCGAGCCCGAGGCGGGGCUCGAACUCACAAACUGUGAGAUCGUGACCUGAGCUGAAGUCGGAUGCUUAAAUGACUGAGCCACCCAAGCGCCCCAAGGCUUAUUUUUUGAGAGAGCGUGAGCAGGGGACAAAGAGAGGGGGACAAAGCAUCCGAAGCAAGCUGCAUGCUGACAGCAGUGAGCCCGAUGCGGGACUCUAACUGAGGUGAAGUUGGAUGCUCAACCGACGGAGUCCCCCAGGUGCCCUGGGCUCCAGAUUUUUAAAAAAUGAUUUCUCUUUGAUAUUCUCAAUUUCUUCAUCCAUUGUUCUUUGGACUUUAUUUUCCUUUUAAGCUCUUUAGGCGUAUUAUUUUAAAUUCUUUGUCUACUAAAGUCUGAGGCCUGUGUUUUGUUAGGCUUGGUUUCUGGAGAUUGAGGGUUUGAUUUUAGUGGGCCAGGUUUCCAAGUUUCUUUGUAUGCCUCAUCAUCUUUUGUGGAAACUUGGGCAUUUGAUAAAACACCCACAUCACCUCUGUGCAGACUGGCUCCACGCAAAGAAAAGACUGCCUCUUCAGCCCAGCAUGAAGGCCUUUUCUGGGCAAGGGUCUUCCCUCGGUCUGUGGGUGUGCUUUGUUCUCAACUCCCCUGUAAAAAUAUCUGCUUUUAAUUGUAUUAAUUUCUGUAAGAGUUUCACAAGUCCAAAUCCUAGACCAUUUGAGCACCUUCGCAUUGAUUGACUCCACCGUUUUUUUUUAGAAGAUUUUCUUUUUUUUUAAAGUAAUCUCUACACCUAACGUGAGGCUCGAGCUCACAACCCCGAGACCAAGAGUCGCGCGCUCCGCUGACUGAACCAGCCAGGCGCCCCAACAUAAUCCCGUUGUUAUUUGUGGUUUGUGGUCAUCUUUAUCACUACAAUUCAUUCCACCUCUCUCUCUUUGACCACAGAUGUCACCCUGGCAGUCUUUGGCAAGAAGGCACUGACAAAACCAUGAUGCACAUUUUUGGAAUCAAUAACGGAGGACGAGAAAUUUAAUUACAAAAAUUAUGACUACAGAAUAAAAAACAAAAUUGGAGGAAAAAAUAUCUGAACUCGUCUGCACACGAUGACCCUCGGAAUGCAUAAUGCUGACAAAAUUACAGGUUGACUUGAAAAGCCACAAUUGCAAUGGGACGUUUUAAUAUAUCCUGUCAGGAAAUGGAGAAGAUAACAUUUGUUAAUAUCCAACAGUUAAUAAAAAAUUUUAAGGACCAUGGACAGAAACAGUGGUUUGAGCUUUAGGAAAUGUUUUAAAUCACAUAAAAACAUAAUUGAAAAUAUACCGAAGACUUAUGUUCAGAUGUGAGUAAUCAGAAACACCCACAAUCUGCCUGAUAAGGAGAAGGUGCUUAUUUUCACACGAAAAGGCUUAUUUUCACAGAAGUCACUGUACAAUGCGGUAGAGGAAUAGGUUACCAUGGGGUUCCUCUUGGCUGCAUGUUGUAGCCGUACUGGUGAAAUCGGGAACACACAGUAAUUAGGAGUAUUAACAGAACGAGGGGUUUACUACACAAAUUAGACCCUAUACAAAUACAGUCCAGAGAAGAGGGAAGUCAGCGCUCUAAAGAACAUUCUC
rnacentral:lncRNA from 1 species